rnacentral:rRNA from 1 species
GUAACCUGCCUCAUAGAGGGGAAUAGCCUUUCGAAAGGAAGAUUAAUACCGCAUAAGAUUGUAGUACCGCAUGGUACAGCAAUUAAAGGAGUAAUCCGCUAUGAGAUGGACCCGCGUCGCAUUAGCUAGUUGGUGAGGUAACGGCUCACCAAGGCGACGAUGCGUAGCCGACCUGAGAGGGUGAUCGGCCACAUUGGAACUGAGACACGGUCCAGACUCCUACGGGAGGCAGCAGUGGGGAAUCUUCCGCAAUGGGCGAAAGCCUGACGGAGCAACGCCGCGUGAGCGAAGACGGCCUUCGGGUUGUAAAGCUCUGUCUUUAGGGACGAUAAUGACGGUACCUAAGGAGGAAGCCACGGCUAACUAC